rnacentral:rRNA from 1 species
UCGUGUGUACAUUCCUACAGUGUCAAUGCACCGGAUCCCAUCAGAACUCCACAGUUAAGCACAUUCCGGAUAGAGUAGUAUUGGGAUGGGUGACCUCGCAGGAAGUCAUAGUGUUUUACAUGCC